CCAAGUCGUGUGCUCUGUGGAUAAGAGUAUUGUGCCAGUAGGGGGCAGUGUAACCAUGCGGUGUAAACAGAAGAUCUUUCAGCCAUCACUAUCAGCUCAGUGACCCUGGGGGAUCAGGGCUGUUUCCAGUGUAUAUUCAGUGUGUACUCACUGGGCUCCAUCAUGGGCAGCGUCUGCUUGAAUGUCACAGAUCCCAAGCUGGACAUAAACUAAUCAGAGGAAUAUCACAUUAUCUGCUGCUCAGUGACGGGGGAAACCUGCCCCCACAAUCACAUGGAACCUAACAGAGACCCCCGAACAGAAAGCUCAGAACUACAGUAUCAAUCACCCUGACCAGACAGUCACAGUCAUUAGCAACUUCACCCACAGCCCAGGAGGGAGGAUCCAUGUGACCUGUGUUGUACAUCACCCCUCUCUCAGCAGCGACAUUGUCCUCUCCAAGGCUGUAGCGGAUCCACGAUGUUGUGCACAGUGACUGGCAGACGCAAUUGAAGAGUGAAUGGCAGGAGGCACGGGCAGGAUCAGGUCUCAGACAAUUCUCCGCCAGUGAUCUGCCAUUAGGGCACUUCAUUUUCACUCUGUGUAAUGAGAAUUGCUGCUUGUGGCAAAAAAAUGUUCCAAGUGCCAAUCCCUAUAACCUUACAGCCUUUGCAAAAUAAAGGUGGAGGAAGUAAGAAAACCAGGGGAAUGGCAUAUAAUGAUUGGAAUGCAGAAGGGUGGUUCAAUACCAGACAAUAUCUGGGGAACCAGGGGGAGUUACAGGUAUUCUCUGUCAUAAUCGCCCAUUAAACGCCUUCUCCUCUCCAACCUGAAUGCACAAUGCAGUCUUUGUAUAUCUGUUUGUUUGCUAGGGUAAAAUGAACCUUAGCAACCAAAAUUGCACACUGGAGAGUUGCUGAAUAAAAUGU